GAUUAGAUACCCUGGUAGUCCACGCCCUAAACGAUGUCAACUGGUUGUUGGGAGGGUUUCUUCUCAGUAACGUAGCUAACGCGUGAAGUUGACCGCCUGGGGAGUACGNCCGCAAGGUUGANACUCAAAGGAAUUGAUCGGGGACCCGCACAAGCGGUGGAUGAUGUGGUUUAAUUCGAUGCAACGCGAAAAACCUUACCUACCCUUGACAUGUCUGGAAUCCUGAAGAGAUUUGGGAGUGCUCGAAAGAGAGCCAGAACACAGGUGCUGCAUGGCCGUCGUCAGCUCGUGUCGUGAGAUGUUGGGUUAAGUCCCGCAACGAGCGCAACCCUUGUCAUUAGUUGCUACGUAAGGGCACUCUAAUGAGACUGCCGGUGACAAACCGGAGGAAGGUGGGGAUGACGUCAGGUCAUCAUGGCCCUUAUGGGUAGGGCUACACACGUCAUACAAUGGCCGGGACAGAGGGCUGCCAACCCGCGAGGGGGAGCUAAUCCCAGAAACCCGGUCGUAGUCCGGAUCGUAGUCUGCAACUCGACUGCGUGAAGUCGGAAUCGCUAGUAAUCACGGAUCAGCUUGCCGCGGUGAAUACGUUCCCGGGUCUUGUACACACCGCCCGUCACACCAUGGGAGCGGGUUCUGCCAGAAGUAGUUAGCCUAACCGCAAGGGGGGCGAUUACCACGGCAGGGUUCGUGAUCUGGGGUGAAGUCGUAANCAAGUAGCCG
rnacentral:rRNA from 1 species